GGCAAACAGGUAUCUGGGAUAACAUUUUUAGCUUUCAGCACAAGGGGGGCCAAGACAGCACUGUGAGCACUCAUCCUCACCUUAGAGCCCAGGACUGCGGCUGGCUCCCUGCUUCCCUCCAGCAGUCUGCCCUUAUACCUUAAGAAUUCCAGGGUUUCGUGUUCUGAACACCUGCAAGCAGAAGCAUCUCUUCCUGUGGGGGCCCUCCCUACACUGCUAUCUCCCCCCAUGGCACCUAGUACCUCCACCUCACUGCAACACCUCAGUCUUCAAUUGGAAUCAUCCUAAACUAGGCGGGCUGGACGAGCUGGAGGUAAUGGUGAACAGCUCCUGUGGCUCUCAACGAUGAAUGGCAACGGAGGAAGAGCUCCCUGGAAGAAAGCCAUUGGGACCUGGAGGAGAGAGACGUCGGUCUGGAUCACUAUACACUUCACUCUUCAUUGCAGCGAUCUAUAUCAUCGCCGGCCCUAUCCACUUCCUAUUUGAGCCUUUGGAAUAGCUGGAAGAAUUCCACAGAGGGAUGAGAAAGCUAUCAAAAAGACUGGUUCUCCUAAGCGGGGGUUAAAACCCUUAACUGAGCUCCAGAGCAAGUCAGGACAUGGAAAACAUUGCAGACACCGAAGCUGUUGCUCUUACUUCAGGGGCCCUCCCCAAAGAUCUCGAUGGUCAAAACCAAAUGGAUAGCCACCAGCAUCACUCCCUAUCCACCUUGGCGUCUCUCCUUGAGAAAGCGCAAACUUUCAACUUCAAUGGAAUCUGAAUACAUUUCACAUUUUCAUUGGGGGGGGGGGCAGAUCUGUGGGGCUGAACCCAAAUAUAUUCCAACAGUUGGUUUUCAACAA